rnacentral:rRNA from 1 species
UACGUAGGGUGCAAGCGUUAUCCGGAAUUAUUGGGCGUAAAGCGCACGUAGGCGGCUUUGCAAGUCGGAUGUGAAAUCCCUCGGCUCAACCAAGGAAGUGCAUCCGAAACUGCAGAGCUUGAGUACCAAAGAGGAUCGCGGAAUUCCCGGUGUAGAGGUGAAAUUCGUAGAUAUCGGGAGGAACACCAGUGGCGAAGGCGGCGAUCUGGGUGGAUACUGACGCUGAGGUGCGAAAGCGUGGGGAGCAAACAGG